UGAGGGAUGACGGCCUUCGGGUUGUAAACCUCUUUCAGUAGGGAAGAAGCGAAAGUGACGGUACCUGCAGAAGAAGCACCGGCUAACUACGUGCCAGCAGCCGCGGUAAUACGUAGGGUGCGAGCGUUAUCCGGAAUUAUUGGGCGUAAAGAGCUCGUAGGCGGUUUGUCGCGUCUGUCGUGAAAGUCCGGGGCUUAACCCCGGAUCUGCGGUGGGUACGGGCAGACUAGAGUGCAGUAGGGGAGACUGGAAUUCCUGGUGUAGCGGUGGAAUGCGCAGAUAUCAGGAGGAACACCGAUGGCGAAGGCAGGUCUCUGGGCUGUAACUGACGCUGAGGAGCGAAAGCAUGGGGAGCGAACAGGAUUAGAUACCCUGGUAGUCCAUGCCGUAAACGUUGGGCACUAGGUGUGGGGAACAUUCCACGUUUUCCGCGCCGCAGCUAACGCAUUAAGUGCCCCGCCUGGGGAGUACGGCCGCAAGGCUAAAACUCAAAGGAAUUGACGGGGGCCCGCACAAGCGGCGGAGCAUGCGGAUUAAUUCGAUGCAACGCGAAGAACCUUACCAAGGCUUGACAUGUUCUCGAUCGCCGUAGAGAUACGGUUUCCCCUUUGGGGCGGGUUCACAGGNGGUGCAUGGUUGUCGUCAGCUCGUGUCGUGAGAUGUUGGGUUAAGUCCCGCAACGAGCGCAACCCUCGUUCCAUGUUGCCAGCACUUCGGGUGGGGACUCAUGGGAGACUGCCGGGGUCAACUCGGAGGAAGGUGGGGACGACGUCAAAUCAUCAUGCCCCUUAUGUCUUGGGCUUCACGCAUGCUACAAUGGCCGGUACAAUGGGUUGCGAU
rnacentral:rRNA from 1 species